GAUGAACGCUGACAGAAUGCUUAACACAUGCAAGUCGAUUCAAGUUACCUUCGGGUAAUGAGGAUGGCGGACGGGUGAGUAACGCGUAAGGAACUUGCCUCUUGGUCUGGGACAACUGUUGGAAACGACAGCUAAUACCGGAUAUUAUGAGAUUCUCGCAUGGGAAACUUAUGAAAGCUAUAUGCGCCAAGAGAGAGCCUUGCGUUCCAUUAGCUAGUUGGUGGGGUAACGGCCCACCAAGGCGACGAUGGACAGCCGGCCUGAGAGGGUGAACGGCCACAAGGGGACUGAGACACGGCCCUUACUCCUACGGGAGGCAGCAGUGGGGAAUAUUGGACAAUGGGCCACAAGCCUGAUCCAGCAAUUCUGUGUGCACGAUGAAGGUCUUCGGAUUGUAAAGUGCUUUCAGUUGGGAAGAAGAAAGUGACGGUACCAACAGAAGAAGCGACGGCUAAAUACGUGCCAGCAGCCGCGGUAAUACGUAUGUCGCAAGCGUUAUCCGGAUUUAUUGGGCGUAAAGCGCGUCUAGGCGGAAAAAUAANUCUGAUGUUAANUGCGGGGCUCAACUCCGUAUUGCGUUGGAAACUGUUUUUCUANAGUACUGGAGAGGUGGGCGGAACUACAAGUGUAGA
rnacentral:rRNA from 1 species